GUGGUACGGGGUGUAUAGGGUGUAUACGGGUGUAAGUCAAUGGGGUGUAUAGGGGUGUCAUGGCGCUGUCGUAGGGGUGUAUGUAUAGGGGUGUAUGUAUAGGGGUGUAUAGGGGUGUAUGUAUAGGGGUGUAUAGGGGUGUAUGUAUAGGGGUGUAUAGGGGUGUAUGUAUAGGGGUGUAUAGGGGUGUAUGUAUAGGGGUGUAAGGGGUGUUAUA
rnacentral:lncRNA from 1 species